ACGGGUGUAGCUCAAUUGGCAGAGCAGCCGUCUCCAAAGCGGCAGGUUGGGGGUUCGAUUCCCUCCGCCCGUG
rfam:Pirellula staleyi DSM 6068, complete genome.